UGGGACAUCGCCAAGUUGGUAAGGCACGGGGUUUUGAUCUCCGCAUCCGUAGGUUCGAGUCCUACUGUCCCAGCCA
rnacentral:tRNA from 2 species